GCCAGCAGCCAUAUCACCCUGUAGCCCAAGACCGGUUGCCCACUGAAGUUAAGCAGGGCUGAGCCUGGUCAGUACCUGGAUGGGAGACCUCCUGAGAAUACUAGGUUGCUGCUGGAA
rnacentral:rRNA from 1 species